rnacentral:rRNA from 1 species
UGAAGGCUGAAAUUCGCCUUCAUGAAGCCGGAAUUGCUAGUAAUGGCAGGUCAGCAUACUGCCGUGAAUACGUUCCCGAGCCUUGUACACACCGCCCGUCACACCAUGAGAGUUGGGAAUACCCGAAGCCUGUGAGCUAACAGUAAUGAGGCAGCAGUCGAAGGUAGAGCCAAUGAUUGGGGUGAAGUCGUAACAAGGUACC